rnacentral:lncRNA from 1 species
AAACACGGAGUAUAGCCGUUGGGCUGUACCUUUUUUUAAUUUAAAAAAAAGUGAGAACCCUCCCUUUUAGCGCCACGUGUCAAAAGUUGUUUUUUCAAAAAAUCUUAGUAUAGCCGCACGGCUGUACUAUUUCAUUAAAAGAAAUAAAAAAUAAAAAAUCCAAAAGGACCCUCCUAGUUGCAUUAGUUUGUACCUUAUAAAUAUUAAUUUGCUAGUUUCAACAUAUCCAAAGUAGAUACUAAUCUUCCACUCUAAUAAUUUUUAUAACAUAUGUUAUUCUUAUUCAAUAACAUGUGAGAAUUAUUUGUAUAAUACGUGAAUUUUGUGUGUCUUACUCAAAUUUUUGUAAAAAUUACGUGUAUGAAACAUUAAAAAUACGUACGUACAUUUAUGUUGUUUUUUUAAAAAUUAUUAUCACUAUAUAAACUCUUUAACCCAAUUUNNNNNNNNNNNNNNNNNNNNNNNNNNNNNNNNNNNNNNNNNNNNNNNNNNNNNNNNNNNNNNNNNNNNNNNNNNNNNNNNNNNNNNNNNNNNNNNNNNNNUAAUACUCAUAGGUUUUAUUAUUAGUUACCGCUCGUCUUAUUACUAUUUAUAAAGACAAUUUAUUUUUUAAUUGUUUUUUAGAAAGUAAAGCCGGCCGGCUAUACUCGUUUUUUGAAAAAAGAAAGAAAAAAGAUGAAAAAUCGAGUAUAGCCGCGCGGCUAUACUAUCUCCUUGUGAAAAACAGAGCAGCUGCAGAGCGUCCACGUGUUAAAUAGUAUAGCCGGGCGGCUAGACUGUUUCGAAAAUCUAAACUCAGUAUAGCCGUGCGGCUAUAUUAUUUUUAAAUAUAAAAAACAGUUGAACCCCAUCCAUUUGGGGCCACGUGUCAACACAAGGUCAAUUUUAAAAAAAAUUUGAAACACGGAGUAUAGCCGUUGGGCUGUACCUUUUUUUAAUUUAAAAAAAAGUGAGAACCCUCCCUUUUAGCGCCACGUGUCAAAAGUUGUUUUUUCAAAAAAUCUUAGUAUAGCCGCACGGCUGUACUAUUUCAUUAAAAGAAAUAAAAAAUAAAAAAUCCAAAAGGACCCUCCUAGUUGCAUUAGUUUGUACCUUAUAAAUAUUAAUUUGCUAGUUUCAACAUAUCCAAAGUAGAUACUAAUCUUCCACUCUAAUAAUUUUUAUAACAUAUGUUAUUCUUAUUCAAUAACAUGUGAGAAUUAUUUGUAUAAUACGUGAAUUUUGUGUGUCUUACUCAAAUUUUUGUAAAAAUUACGUGUAUGAAACAUUAAAAAUACGUACGUACAUUUAUGUUGUUUUUUUUAAAAUUAUUAUCACUAUAUAAACUCUUUAACCCAAUUUAAUUAAUUAACUCAUAGGUUUUAAUUUAUUAGUUACCGCUCGUCUAUACUAUUUAUUAAAGACAUUUUAUUUUUUAAUUGUUUUUUUAGAAAGUAAAGCCGGCCGGCUAUACUCCUUUUUUUGAAAAAAAAAGAAAAAAGAAGAAAAAUAGAGUAUAGCCGCGCGGCUAUACUAUCUCCUUGUGAAAAACAGAGCAGCUGCAGAGCGUCCACGUGUUAAAUAGUAUAGCCGGGCGGCUAGACUGUUUCGAAAAUCUAAACUCUGUAUAGCCGUGCGGCUAUAUUAUUUUUAAAUAUAAAAACAGUUGAACCCCAUCCAUUUGGCGCCACGUGUCAACACAAGGUCAAUUUUAAAAAAAAUUUAAAACACGGAGUAUAGCCGUUGGGCUGUACCUUGUUUUUAUUUAAAAAAAAGUGAGAACCCUCCCUUUUAGCGCCACGUGUCAAAAGUUGUUUUUUCAAAAAAUCUUAGUAUAGCCGCACGGCUGUACUAUUUCAUUAAAAGAAAUAAAAAAUAAAAAAUCCAAAAGGACCCUCCUAGUUGCAUUAGUUUGUACCUUAUAAAUAUUAAUUUGCUAGUUUCAACAUAUCCAAAGUAGAUACUAAUCUUCCACUCUAAUAAUUUUUAUAACAUAUGUUAUUCUUAUUCAAUAACAUGUGAGAAUUAUUUGUAUAAUACGUGAAUUUUGUGUGUCUUACUCAAAUUUUUGUUAAAAUUACGUGUAUGAAACAUUAAAAAUACGUACGUACAUUUAUGUUGUUUUUUUAAAAAUUAUUAUCACUAUAUAAACUCUUUAACCCAAUUUAAUUAAUUAACUAAUAGGUUUUAAUUUAUUAGUU